GGAUACGUAGGGCACUCUACAGAAACUUGUCAUGUUCCCAAGGCUAUAGUUCAAGAGCUCAUCGAUCAGAAGCUUUUGAGCUUUACACUUGAAGCGCCUAUUGAGAAAAGGUUUGAAUACAAGGGUCCUCCAAUUCAUGUGCAAAUUCAUCCACAUGUGGUUCAACCUGCUGCGCAGUAUCCGAAUCAAGGAUACCAUCCUGGAAUAUUGUUGGACUAUCCUGAGGAAUCAUCUUCUACUAUUGUUGCACCUCAGUAUGCUUAUGUUGGGGCACUCUGUACCCCCAUUUGGAGUUCGUUAUGGCCCGACUUAUCAAACAAUCAAUCAUGGCUUGGUGCAUUUUGCUUAGAUAUUCCAACCUAUGGUUGUUCCUCAUAUUCACUCUCAGUCUUAAAUAUCUUCGGUGCCUAUGCCAUGCUACUCAGCUCCACUUAGUCUUACGUCCCAGUAUCAGCCGUCUCCUCAGGCUCAAAUCCUGAAAACGAACACAUAUAGGAAGAAGUAAAUGCCAUUAAUGCGCCCCUGCCGAGCAGAGAACUAAUUCAGCAUAAGACUUGUGUCGCUCCACCUUCCCUUUCACAUUAGAAGCUCCUUCUGCCAUACCGGAGAUAUCCUCCGGCAGCGGAGACGCUUCUAAUUCUACAAAACAGACGUCGCAUCACUCAUUUUAACAUGUUGAGCAUGAGUCCACUCAUGAGAACCUUCCAAUCCUUCUGGAAUACUCAGAUCGAAGCAUAAAUACGACGAACCCUAGGUCGGAGAGGAUCCAAUUAAACGCAGUUCUCCAAGAAUUGAAGCCUCAUAUGAGAGUGCUUUGAUUCUUGAAGGGAAUCACUAUACGCUUACAUGUUAAACAACAUGAAUCGAAGGUGAGUCGGAAACCUACCUCUCCGGAGAAGACAACAGAGAUAGGAACAUCAACGAUUUGCUCCAGGAAUGGUAUGUGAGUGUGCAAUUUCCAGAGAUUUUGGAGAGCUUGAGACGGACGAACUGUUGUAGCAGAGAGAGAGAACGAUCCUCCCUUUUGAUUAUGAUUGACAAUGGUCUUAUAUAGAGGAUUCGGUUGCAACUCUGUUAUGCUACGUUAAUCUUGCCCUGUGUAGAUUAGUUAGGAUUGGAUAACUCUGUUGUGCUCUGUUACAAUUUGUUAGGGGUUUGAGCAAACUGGUUUUUUUUUCUGUUUCAGUUUGGAAUUGGCGUAAAUCAGUUAGAAGUUUGUGUCAGUUGUGGAGUUCUGUUAUUUCUGGUUAUGUGAUUGUGAUGCUGAUGGAACUUAACUCGUGAUGUAGGUAUGAUACGCGGAUGUGCUUGUUAUCGGGACUUCUGCCCGGCAGUAGCAGAUAUUUAGCUAAUUAUUGAAUUUUGGUAGGUGAGUUGAAGCACAAAGGGUAUGAACUGGUUGUUCUCUUAUGAUCACUGGCCUUAUGAUCCUUGCUAGAUUUAUUCAAAUCGGAAGAUUCAAAUAUCAAUGGACCAGAUUUUGUGCUAACUUGUUUAAAGCUUUGUUUCAGAAGGGUAGGUCCCUCUUUGCAACUUAAACUUCUUCCUAAUCAAUUCAAGCCAAAGCUAAGUUGAUUUCGGGACAAGUUAUUCAUGUCAUACUCUGUUGAUUCUUUCGUAUUACGGAAAGAAUACUGCUUUCUUUGCUUAAUGUCUAACAUUUCUUUUUCAAUGCAAGUAUCUUUAUUAGGUUUGAAACUAAACAUCUUAUUCAAGCAACCAGGUUUCUCCGAUCGAGCAGAAAAAAAAUCAACAUCUAGAUCAAUAUCGAAAUUGUCCUACGUUGAAGAAGAAGCAAGGCUAGCCACAAAAGGGGGAAUAUUUUUGGUGUAAGCCUCCUCGGGAAGGGAAAUAUAAGAUGAGCUACUCAAGCUUGAUUCUGAAAAGAUUUCGUCAGACGAAGCUAUUGAUAGAGAAUGUGGAAAAUAGUCUUGGAAAUUCGACUACAGAAACUUUCGCGGACGAAGCAAAACAAUGUCUCUUGAUAUGGUUCAAUAUCUGAGUCCUGCCACUGAUUCUUUUUUAGCUUGGCUUCACUUCUUCUAGAACUCAUUUUCAUCUCAGAGCUAAGUGAGACACAUUUAUCUUUACCUUCCAACGAUGGAAAUUGGUUAUCGAAACAAGAAUUAAAACCUCUCUCUUUUUUCCUUUAUCUAUCUGAGGUCUUAUGUCGAAAUUAGACCACAUCUUAGCAGAUAGCUUCUUCAACAGCUCAUAUAUAUUCAGAUUUUUCUUUCCAUAGUCUCUUCUUUGAUCUGCCAAUUCUGAAAAAGGAGUAUGUUAUGUUUAUUGUUUAGGUGGAAAAUGACAGAAACUUGUUUGGAAGAUCCCGAGGAAGAUCAGAAAUGUGAAAUUAAGGAAUGAAGAAAGUUAAGGUUGGAAGCAAAGUAAAGAGGAAGUGGGAAUCAAUGGCGGUGGCACUGUUAGAGGUAGUGAAUGAUUCUUUGCACGUUACUGUUGAUGAUGAUGAAGUCUACUUUGUUAUUGGUAUUGUAUAAAAAAUAGGUGUAAUUGUGUUACAUCUUUUGAAUGAUUGGAAUUGGAAUUUUGUUGUGCAUUUUGUAACUUCUUUUUGGUUUGAAAUAUUCGGUUUGAAUCUAA